GCGGCCGAGGGCGCGGGGCGCGCGGCUUCCGAAGUCGCCAACAGCACCGGAGACUUGACUUCUCUCUCUCCUCCCGCCCCCCCUGCCGGUCACGGUACAAAUUCUCCGGAUCGUCUGGGUUAGGAUCCUGCUCUAUAGAAUGUGCAAGCGGUUUCCACUCACCCGGCUGGGAGGCCAAAAAUGAAAAGAGAGGGUGGUCCUCGAGCGAAGAAGCGGGCGCGUUUAGAGGGCACCUUUGCAGUCAGCCCAGAAGGAUGAGAUACAUUGCAUUUGCCGAAGGGAACGGGAACGCCGAAGGGAACGGGAACGCACAUAUCCUCGAGCUUUUCACCUUGUUGCCUUCUGCAUGAAGUUGGCCUUUUGGGGUCGUGAGUUCCUUUAAGUUUGAACCCCCAGUGGCUGAUAUGGAGAAGUAAAAAAUCUAAAGGUUUUUGGAGAAUUUUUAAAAAAUCCAAUUGAAGAAAAACAAGGUGCUUUACAGGCAUAUGAGAGCCAGAAAGGGAAAUUGUAAAUAGCACUCUCUCCUAUUGCUUAAGCAGAGUAUGUUUCAAAGGGACUCUGUGUACUGGUGUGAUGAAAGGUAAUUUUUAAAACUUAGAGAAACAAAGCAGCCUAUGAAACAAAGGAGGCAUGUUUUUUAAUAUUCAACAUCUAUCUUGCUGGGUCACUGAAGAAUUACUGUAGUUAGGACGAGGCUCAGGCAAAAACUUUUGUGAGGGAGAAGCUAUUACAGAGAAGCCUGGAGGAGAAGAGUGACAUUGGUAAUCUCCCCUCUCUUCCCACCUGGAUGAGGAGCCCACCCCGGAGGGAACUGUGAUGAUACCAGAGAUGAAGGAUGUCUGGGAAUGUAGCCAGCAGCUUGGAUAUUCACUAAGUAAAGUGGUGAGAUCUACAAGGAAAUUCUGAUCCCAGGUCGGGAUCACCGUGACAUAGAACUCGGCUUCUGGAAACAAGAUGCUUCCCUGCUGUAGUCCCAGAGAAAAGAAUUCAGACCCCCUCCCUGUACCCCCUGCAGCCCCGGACUGGUGUGUUUUUAUUCUUCCAACUAAGCAGUAAAUAUCUGAUUGCUUGGUUUGAAACUUUGUUCAUUCCGUAUGAAAUGAUGCCUGAGUAGUCCCGAUUUUGAAUUCCACAGAUAAUUAAAACAUUACUAAUCA